rnacentral:rRNA from 1 species
AGUGAACGCUGGCGGUAGGCCUAACACAUGCAAGUCGAACGGCAGCACAGUAAGAGCUUGCUCUUACGGGUGGCGAGUGGCGGACGGGUGAGGAAUACAUCGGAAUCUACUUUUUCGUGGGGGAUAACGUAGGGAAACUUACGCUAAUACCGCAUACGACCUACGGGUGAAAGCAGGAGAUCUUCGGACCUUGCGCGAUUGAAUGAGCCGAUGUCGGAUUAGCUAGUUGGCGGGGUAAAGGCCCACCAAGGCGACGAUCCGUAGCUGGUCUGAGAGGAUGAUCAGCCACACUGGAACUGAGACACGGUCCAGACUCCUACGGGAGGCAGCAGUGGGGAAUAUUGGACAAUGGGCGCAAGCCUGAUCCAGCCAUACCGCGUGGGUGAAGAAGGCCUUCGGGUUGUAAAGCCCUUUUGUUGGGAAAGAAAAGCAGCAGAUUAAUACCCCGCUGUUCUGACGGUACCCAAAGAAUAAGCACCGGCUAACUUCGUG